UGGGGAAUUUUGGACAAUGGGGGAAACCCUGAUCCAGCCAUCCCGCGUGUGCGAUGAAGGCCUUCGGGUUGUAAAGCACUUUUGGCAGGAAAGAAACGUCGCGGGUUAAUACCCCGCGAAACUGACGGUACCUGCAGAAUAAGCACCGGCUAACUACGUGCCAGCAGCCGCGGUAAUACGUAGGGUGCAAGCGUUAAUCGGAAUUACUGGGCGUAAAGCGUGCGCAGGCGGUUCGGAAAGAAAGAUGUGAAAUCCCAGAGCUUAACUUUGGAACUGCAUUUUUAACUACCGGGCUAGAGUGUGUCAGAGGGAGGUGGAAUUCCGCGUGUAGCAGUGAAAUGCGUAGAUAUGCGGAGGAACACCGAUGGCGAAGGCAGCCUCCUGGGAUAGCACUGACGCUCAUGCACGAAAGCGUGGGGAGCAACAGGAUUAGAUACCCUGGUAGUCCACGCCCUAAACGAUGUCAACUAGCUGUUGGGGCCUUCGGGCCUUGGUAGCGCAGCUAACGCGUGAAGUUGACCGCCUGGGGAGUACGGUCGCAAGAUUAAAACUCAAAUGAAUUGACGGGG
rnacentral:rRNA from 1 species